GGGUUUGAUCCUGGCUCAGGAUGAACGCUGGCGGCGUGCCUGAUACAUGUAAGUCGAACGGGCUGCUGUAGCGCGGAGGCCUUGGGAGGGGCGGAGGAUGAGAAAUCGUUCGAGGCCCAAGAAGGGGAGGAAGCGUGAAAAGCGGCCAGUGGCGGACGGGUGAGUAACACGUAGGCGAUCCACCUUACAGUGGGGAACAACUGCUCGAAAGGGCAGCUAAUACCGCAUAAGGUCUAGCGCGAGCUAGAAGAAAGGGGCGCAAGUCCCGCUGAAAGAGGAGCCUGCGGCCGAUUAGCUAGUUGGUGAGGUAACGGCCCACCAAGGCGAUGAUCGGUAGCUGGUCUGAGAGGACGAUCAGCCACACUGGAACUGGGACACGGUCCAGACUCCUACGGGAGGCAGCAGUAAGGAAUAUUGCACAAUGGGGGAAACCCUGAUGCAGCAACGCCGCGUGAGUGACGAAGGCCUUCGGGUUGUAAAACUCUUUUCUGAGGGAUGAGGAAGGACAGUACCUUAGGAAUAAGUCUCGGCUAACUACGUGCCAGCAGCCGCGGUAAAACGUAGGAGGCGAGCGUUAUCCGGAUUUACUGGGCGUAAAGGGCAAGUAGGCGGUGGUUCAAGUUGGGCGUGACAGAUCCUGGCUUAACUGGGAGAGGUCGUUCAAAACUGGAUCACUAGAGGGCAGGAGAGGGGAGCGGAAUUCCUAGUGUAGCGGUGGAAUGCUCAGAUAUUAGGAAGAACACCAGUGGCGAAAGCGGCUUUCUGGCCUGCACCUGACGCUGAAGGGCGAAAGCUAGGGGAGCGAACGGGCUUAGAUACCCCGGUAGUCCUAGCUGUAAACGUUGGAUACUGGGUAUUGGGGGUUAUGAAACCUUCAGUGCCGAAGCGAACGCGUUAAGUAUCCCGCCUGGGGACUACGGCCGCAAGGUUAAAACUCAA
rnacentral:rRNA from 1 species